AUUGAACGCUGGCGGCAUGCCUUACACAUGCAAGUCGAACGGCAGCACGGGUGCUUGCACCUGGUGGCGAGUGGCGAACGGGUGAGUAAUACAUCGGAACAUGUCCUGUAGUGGGGGAUAGCCCGGCGAAAGCCGGAUUAAUACCGCAUACGAUCCACGGAUGAAAGCGGGGGACCUUCGGGCCUCGCGCUAUAGGGUUGGCCGAUGGCGGAUUAGCUAGUUGGUGGGGUAAAGGCCUACCAAGGCGACGAUCAGUAGCUGGUCUGAGAGGACGACCAGCCACACUGGGACUGAGACACGGCCCAGACUCCUACGGGAGGCAGCAGUGGGGAAUUUUGGACAAUGGGCGAAAGCCUGAUCCAGCAAUGCCGCGUGUGUGAAGAAGGCCUUCGGGUUGUAAAGCACUUUUGUCCGGAAAGAAAUCCUUGGCUCUAAUACAGUCGGGGGAUGACGGUACCGGAAGAAUAAGCACCGGCUAACUACGUG
rnacentral:rRNA from 1 species